UCCACCAGUCUCCCUCGUGUACAUCCUGCCGCUGUGGCUGAUUCCAACCUGUUAACAUGAUGCCCCUCCACGCGGAGCUGAACAGAGACCGGCUCUCAGGGACUGGCUCGUUUUGCUUCCAGCACGCGAACCCGAGUCGUGAGUAAAUUCGCGAGUAGUCCGUCCUUGGCGCCUGGAAGACACUUGCGCACGCCUGGUGACCCAGUGUGUGAUGGGAGAGCUGCUCAGGCCAGAGGGUCAGACUGAAAGAAGAACUUCCUGCCAAGUGCCUAGGGAGACGCUGAGCCCAAGAAGUGGGGGGUCAGAGCCCCCUCUGGACUCCUCUCCAGACACCAGAACUUUCUGCCGCUGCAGACUUUUCAAGAGUAACCGCUUCACCUGCCGGGGGCUCUCAGACGUGGAACAGAAGCCACUGGAUGGACAAAUCACCCCGUGCUGCCCAGGUCAUGAGGACAGACCCUAACCCAGUAUGACUGGGGUCCUUAUCAGAGGAGGUUAGGACACAGACUCGCACAGAGGGACGAUCGUGUGAGGACACAGGGAGGAGACAGCAUCUAUGCCCCCACGAGAGACGCCUCGGAAGGAACCAGACCAACUUGCCCACGGCUGGAUCUCAGACUCCCAGCCUCCAGAGCCGUGAGACAACACGUGUCCGGUGUGUUAGCCGCCCUGCGUGUGGUCCUUUGUCGCGGCAGUCCUAGGAGGCUAACACAGCCGCCAGAGGCCACGUGGGGUCCUGGAUUCAAUCCUGGAACGGGAAAAGGACACCUGUGGAAAAACGUGAAACGCAAACGAAGCCUUUUGUUUCGCUAAUGGUAUUGCACCAAUGUUCCUUUCCUCUUUUUGACAAGUGACAGUAAUUUAAGAUGUUAACAGGAGAGGAAGCUGAGUUAAGUGUAUACGGAACUUCCUGCGCUAUCUUUGCAAUUAAUCUGUAAAUCCAAAUGGUUGCACAACAGCGUGAAUGUGAUUGAUGCUGCUGAGCUGUGUGCUUAAAAAUGAUUAAGAUGAAAAAUUCUAUGUCGUAUGUGUGUCUUUUACCACAAUAAAACAACUCUGUCAAAAAUCUA